AAAAAAUUGAAGAGAGAAAAAAACAAAACCCAGAUUGGUACACGCCUCUAAUUCAAAAACGAAGAAUAAGCCCACACGGGGCUUCCACGAGGGAGAAGCAGCAUGCGAGAUUCUACCCGCCGCUGUAUAUAAGAGGAGGAAGGUGGCGGGAGAGAGAGAGGAAUUUGUUAGCGAGAGAAAGGUAGAAAGGGAGAGAGAGGAGGGAAGGAAAAAGAAGAAGAAGAAGGAGAAGCUGGCAGCGGCACGCCCAAAUCAUUCCCGAUCUGCGGCGAAGAAAAGGAAGAAGGAAAAGAGGAAGAAGCAGUUGUUGCUGUGCGCGAUGGUGGGACUGGAGAAGAAGAACCGCGGCAGCUAGUCGCGCGAUUUUCACAAAUUUGUAGUUCCGUUCGGAGCAGUUUCACCAGAUCCGUGCUGGAUAUGAACGCAUGAGGCAUUCUGUGGUGAUUGUCGAUUGGCUUGCGGCGGCGUGUGGCAGUCUGGCGGUGGCGUAUGGUAGUCCGGUGGCGGCGCGCGGACUUUCGGUGGUUGCAUAGUGAGUCCUAAGAACCCGAUCGGUAUAAGUGAGCUCAAAAACUCUAAAUGGUUUACUGUUUUAGAUUUAAGAUUAAUUAAUUUUAUUUAAUUUGAAUGCAGUGAAUGGUUUAUCUGAUUUAGAAUUAAAAAUAAAUUUAGACAUGCAUAUUUGAAAUUAGGAGAUGGUCAAUUUAUUAUUAAACCGAUAUGCAUGUUACUGAAACAGGUUAAUCUUAUAUUUCAAGGAUAAUUUCACCAAUGAAAUUUAAGCGGAA
rnacentral:lncRNA from 1 species